rnacentral:rRNA from 1 species
ACGGGUGAGUAACACGUGGGAACGUACCCUUUGGUUCGGAAUAACGCUGGGAAACUAGCGCUAAUACCGGAUACGCCCUUUUGGGGAAAGGCUUGCUGCCGAAGGAUCGACCCGCGUCUGAUUAGCUAGUUGGUGGGGUAAUGGCCUACCAAGGCGACGAUCAGUAGCUGGUCUGAGAGGAUGAUCAGCCACACUGGGACUGAGACACGGCCCAGACUCCUACGGGAGGCAGCAGUGGGGAAUAUUGGACAAUGGGCGCAAGCCUGAUCCAGCCAUGCCGCGUGAGUGAUGAAGGCCUUAGGGUUGUAAAGCUCUUUUGUCCGGGACGAUAAUGACGGUACCGGAAGAAUAAGCCCCGGCUAACUUCGUGCCAGCAGCCGCGGUAAUACGAAGGGGGCUAGCGUUGCUCGGAAUCACUGGGCGUAAAGGGCGCGUAGGCGGCCAUUCAAGUCGGGGGUGAAAGCCUGUGGCUCAACCACAGAAUUGCCUUCGAUACUGUUUGGCUUGAGUUUGGUAGAGGUUGGUGGAACUGCGAGUGUAGAGGUGAAAUUCGUAGA